rnacentral:rRNA from 1 species
AACCUCCUUCGGGAGGGGAUUAGUGGCGAACGGGUGAGUAACACGUGGGCAAUCUGCCCUUCACUCUGGGACAAGCCCUGGAAACGGGGUCUAAUACCGGAUACGAGCCUCCAAGGCAUCUUGGAGGUUGGAAAGCUCCGGCGGUGAAGGAUGAGCCCGCGGCCUAUCAGCUUGUUGGUGAGGUAAUGGCUCACCAAGGCGACGACGGGUAGCCGGCCUGAGAGGGCGACCGGCCACACUGGGACUGAGACACGGCCCAGACUCCUACGGGAGGCAGCAGUGGGGAAUAUUGCACAAUGGGCGAAAGCCUGAUGCAGCGACGCCGCGUGAGGGAUGACGGCCUUCGGGUUGUAAACCUCUUUCAGCAGGGAAGAAGCGAAAGUGACGGUACCUGCAGAAGAAGCGCCGGCUAACUACGUGCCAGCAGCCGCGGUAAUACGUAGGGCGCAAGCGUUGUCCGGAAUUAUUGGGCGUAAAGAGCUCGUAGGCGGCUUGUCACGUCGGGUGUGAAAGCCCGGGGCUUAACCCCGGGUCUGCAUUCGAUACGGGCUAGCUAGAGUGUGGUAGGGGAGAUCGGAAUUCCUGGUGUAGCGGUGAAAUGCGCAGAUAUCAGGAGGAACACCGGUGGCGAAGGCGGAUCUCUGGGCCAUUACUGACGCUGAGGAGCGAAAGCGUGGGGAGCGAACAGGAUUAGAUACCCUGGUAGUCCACGCCGUAAACGGUGGGAACUAGGUGUUGGCGACAUUU